UACAGAGGUCUCAAGCGUUGUUCGGAUUCAUUGGGCGUAAAGGGUGCGUAGGCGGCGCGGUAAGUCGGGUGUGAAAUCUCGGAGCUUAACUCCGAAACUGCAUUCGAUACUGCCGUGCUUGAGGACUGGAGAGGAGACUGGAAUUUACGGUGUAGCGGUGAAAUGCGUAGAUAUCGUAAGGAAGACCAGUGGCGAAGGCGGGUCUCUGGACAGUUCCUGAUGCUGAUGCACGAAGGCCAGGGGAGCAAACGGG
rnacentral:rRNA from 1 species